rnacentral:rRNA from 1 species
CAGCAGCCGCGGUAAUACGUAGGGUGCGAGCGUUAAUCGGAAUUACUGGGCGUAAAGCGUGCGCAGGCGGUUCGUUAAGACAGAUGUGAAAUCCCCGGGCUUAACCUGGGAACUGCAUUUGUGACUGGCGAGCUAGAGUAUGGCAGAGGGGGGUGGAAUUCCGCGUGUAGCAGUGAAAUGCGUAGAUAUGCGGAGGAACACCGAUGGCGAAGGCAGCCCCCUGGGCCAAUACUGACGCUCAUGCACGAAAGCGUGGGGAGCAAACAGGAUUAGAUACCCGCGUAGUCCCUGUCUCUUAUAC